AAUUCUCAACUGCACCGGGUUUCUUCGACCCGGCGUGAAGUUGGACUUGGAGGAUAACUGCUGGCGCACUCCCUCGGGAGAGCUUGUCGGCUCCUCUUGAAUGCAUGAGCUUUCCAGAUCGGUCAGCGACUCCGAUGUGAUAAAUAUCUACGUCGGUCGGUCCUUCCAAUCAAAGCUUCACCACCCGCUCGACGCCUCGUGCGCCCUGCGACUCUGACAA
rnacentral:misc_RNA from 1 species